GAAAUGCGAUACGUAAUGUGAAUUGCAGAAUUCAGUGAAUCAUCGAAUCUUUGAACGCACCUUGCACUCUUUGGUAUUCCGAAGAGUACGCCUGUUCGAGUAUCUUGAAACUAUCAGACCUCUGUCUUUUAUUAGGCAUUGGACUGGAUUUGGACUUUACCGUCUCUUUUUGAUAAGAACGGUUGGUCUUAAAAGCAUUAGCUGACCCUCGAUUUGUGGGAUUGGUUCUACUCGACGUGAUAAUUAUCUGACCGUCGAGGACAUUUGCUUAACUGCGAAUGGCCAGCCUCACCUUGGAUCGCUUCUAAUCGUGCUCCCCAGCACAAUUACUUUCAACUUUGAUCUCGAAUCAGGUGGGACUACCCGCUGAACUUAA
rnacentral:misc_RNA from 1 species